CGGUUCGAGUCCGCUUACCUCCACUGAAAACUAUCCUGCUAACUAAAAUCUCUGGAGAAAAUUUGUAGAUCUGGCUUAGAAUUGUCUAUUUGAAAAGAACCUAGCUUCUUAUCAUCUACUAAUAGUUGAUAAUAUGCUGGGCUCACAUGGAUUUAUUCCAUGAGAAUUCAGUA
rnacentral:misc_RNA from 1 species